UUUAGAGCGCUUUAAGAGCAGCUUGGUUAGUGAGUUCAAUAAUUCCAAGCAUUAAGUCUUUUAAUGAACUAGCUUUUCUAUCUAUGGGACACUACUUGGAGAAAUCCAAGUAACCUUUAAACUCACAUUUAGAUCUGAAAUCAACUGAGACCACCCGCUGAACUUAAGCAUAUCAAUA
rnacentral:rRNA from 1 species